UCCUACGGGAGGCAGCAGUGGGGAAUAUUGGACAAUGGGCGCAAGCCUGAUCCAGCCAUGCCGCGUGAGUGAUGAAGGCCUUAGGGUUGUAAAGCUCUUUCACCCGGGAAGAUAAUGACGGUACCCGGAGAAGAAGCCCCGGCUAACUUCGUGCCAGCAGCCGCGGUAAUACGAAGGGGGCUAGCGUUGUUCGGAAUUACUGGGCGUAAAGCGCACGUAGGCGGAUUUUUAAGUCAGAGGUGAAAUCCCGGGGCUCAACCCCGGAACUGCCUUUGAUACUGCCAGUCUAGAGUCUGGGAGAGGUGAGUGGAAUUCCGAGUGUAGAGGUGAAAUUCGUAGAUAUUCGGAGGAACACCAGUGGCGAAGGCGGCUCACUGGACCAUUACUGACGCUGAGGUGCGAAA
rnacentral:rRNA from 1 species